ensembl:lncRNA
CCGUAACUGUUUCAAGCCCUCCCCAGGCUUGACUCCCACCCUUACACUUCAGCAUGUGCUCAUAUAUAGAUAGUAAGACAAGCAGUCAGGAUCCCAGCCAGUUCCUCUGUCUCCUCCAGCAUGUUCACACAGCUGCUCUCUCUCUGGGUGACUGGGGCAUUACUGCUGCCCCUGAACUGGGGUACCACAUUAGGCAGUGCAGAUUAUGAUGAAGAUGUGACGCCAACACCAGAUUACGACUACAACGCUACAUUCGACUACUAUAUGUACAAUGGCACGUCAAUUAACUACGAGAUGUAUGAAAUUCUCCACAAUACCAAAAAUCAAGGACAUACGGAUUCAGUGUCAGUGUAUAGACACUAUGGAAUAUUAGCAGGACUGCUGGUGCUGCACUUCUGCCAGCAAACAUGAAAAUCAACUAUGGACCAAACAAAAAUACCGAUAUGCUGAUGUCAUCGAAGAGGAAGGACCAGAACAUCCUCUUUGUUGCAGAGCGACAUCAUUACUGACAUUUUCACUGAAUUAAAGUCUGGGGCUUUGGAAAAAAGAAGAAUCUUUCUUCUAAAUGUAUCUUUGUUGUUCAAAACUUUUUAUAUGUGAUUUGAAAUUAUCACAGAUUUUAUGCUGUUUUAGAUGCUUUAUGAAUUGCUUUAUAUCAAUCUAUAUUAAUUUUAUAGAUUGCUUUUAUUAAUUAUCCAACAAACAUUAUCUGAGAAGCCUUUAUGAAACUGUAACCAACAUUUUCACUUUUGCAUAAAGGAUGAAAAAAAAAAAAAAUUA